UACGUAGGGGGGCAAGCGUUUGUCCGGAAUUAUUGGGCGUAAAGCGCGCGCAGGCGGCUCUUUAAGUCUGAUGUGAAAGCCCACGGCUCAACCGUGGAGGGUCAUUGGAAACUGGAGAGCUUGAGUGCAGGAGAGGAAAAGUGGAAUUCCAUGUGUAGCGGUGAAAUGCGUAGAGAUAUGGAGGAACACCAGUGGCGAAGGCGACUUUCUGGCCUGUAACUGACGCUGAGGCGCGAAAGCGUGGGGGAGCAAAACAGG
rnacentral:rRNA from 1 species